rnacentral:rRNA from 1 species
UACGUAGGGGGCUAGCGUUGUCCGGAAUCAUUGGGCGUAAAGCGCGUGUAGGCGGUUCGGUAAGUCCGCUGUGAAAGUCGGGGCUCAACCCUCGAAAGCCGGUGGAUACUGUCGGGCUAGAGUACGGAAGAGGCGAGUGGAAUUCCUGGUGUAGCGGUGAAAUGCGCAGAUAUCAGGAGGAACACCAUUAGCGAAGGCAGCCUGCGCUGGACGUUACUGACGCUGAGACGACGAAGCGUGGGGAGCAAACAGG